rnacentral:rRNA from 1 species
UACAGAGGGUGCAAGCGUUGUUCGGAAUUAUUGGGCGUAAAGGGCGCGUAGGCGGUUCGGCAAGUCUCUAGUGAAAUCUCAGGGCUCAACUCUGAGUCUGCUGGGGAAACUGCCGGGCUUGAGUCCGGUAGGGGCAGAGGGAAUUCCCGGUGGAGCGGUGAAAUGCGUAGAGAUCGGGAAGAACGCCAAGGGCGAAGGCACUCUGCUAGGCCUGAUUUCGCGACUGACACUCAGGGACGAGAGCCAGGGGAGCGAAUGGG